rnacentral:rRNA from 1 species
UACGUAGGGUGCAAGCGUUUGUCCGGAAUUAUUGGGCGUAAAGAGCUCGUAGGCGGUUUGUCGCGUCUGCUGUGAAAACGCGAGGCUCAACCUCGCGCCCUGCAGUGGGUACGGGCAGACUAGAGUGCGGUAGGGGAGAUUGGAAUUCCUGGUGUAGCGGUGGAAUGCGCAGAUAUCAGGAGGAACACCGGUGGCGAAGGCGGGUCUCUGGGCCGAUACUGACGCUGAGGAGCGAAAGCGUGGGGAGCGAACAGG